rnacentral:rRNA from 1 species
GACGAACGCUGGCGGCGUGCCUAAUACAUGCAAGUAGAACGCUGAAGAGAGGAGCUUGCUCUUCUUGGAUGAGUUGCGAACGGGUGAGUAACGCGUAGGUAACCUGCCUUGUAGCGGGGGAUAACUAUUGGAAACGAUAGCUAAUACCGCAUAACAAUGGAUGACACAUGUCAUUUAUUUGAAAGGGGCAAUUGCUCCACUACAAGAUGGACCUGCGUUGUAUUAGCUAGUAGGUGAGGUAAUGGCUCACCUAGGCGACGAUACAUAGCCGACCUGAGAGGGUGAUCGGCCACCCUGGGACUGAGACACGGCCCAGACUCCUACGGGAGGCAGCAGUAGGGAAUCUUCGGCAAUGGGGGCAACCCUGACCGAGCAACGCCGCGUGAGUGAAGAAGGUUUUCGGAUCGUAAAGCUCUGUUGUAAGUCAAGAACGGGUGUGAGAGUGGAAAGUUCACACUGUGACGGUAGCUUACCAGAAAGAGACGGCUAACUACGUG